GCGUCUCAGACUUGAAGACGCCUCUCCAGCAGAACUCCCUCAUUGGUCGGCAAGAGAAAACAAAGCUGGGCUCUGAUUGGUGACAGCUCUGUAGCUCCUCCUCAUACCCGCAGUCCCCGCAAGUUCCACCCCUGCCCGCCCGGUUCGCUCGCCCUUGGUUCCCACUCCCAGGUGGCUGCAGACUGGAGUGUGUUUCAUGGACGAGCAACCUCCCUGAGGAGAACCCCGGAUACGCAGGUUCAUUCGCCAGAUGCGAGUUUUCUUAAGCCGCUGCGAUUCUCUGAUUUCAGUAUGAACUUGGUGAAUAACGUAAUCUUUAACUUCCUUUGGAUUCAGACAAGUCUCCUAGGUUUAAAAAUGCUGCAUAAGAUUGAGAGGGAUAUUGUUAUGCACGAAAAAAGACAUAAGGUGUUUUCACCUUUGGCGACACUGUAGGUGACUUUUUCUUAUUACCUUUUUGUGUUCCAUAUUGAACAUGUACUACAUGAUUAGAAAAAAAAAUUCUUAAAUAGAAAAAUGAGUAGGGUGCGGAGAAUGGUAAAGACAAACUUUAAGGAAAUCCAGAGAACUGAUUCUUUCACAAUAGAAGAAAAUACAGUAAACAUGCUUAAUAUCUGAGGGCUACCCCGAAAAAACAUGAACUGGUAUCAGCGCCCUUCAGCUCUCUUAAAGAACUUUACAUAUGUGACCGAGGUGCCCCCAUACUCCUUCCUAUCAUGUAACCAACACAUAAUGUGGACAGCACUACACUGCAAACAGAAUUACAGGAAGACUCUUAUAGGAAGAAUUAGAAUCCAAAGUACACAAUCAAUAAAGCUUUAGAAAAAGGGGUAGUAAAAAGCAGAAGACAAAAAAAAAUCAGGUAAUAUAAAUUGGAAAGCUCAGCUGAUGGAGGGAAUCAUCAGAAAAAAAAUAAUGUGACAACACUUCAAGAUGUGAUAGAGACUUUGAAUGGAAAGCUGAAGGGAGAGGAAGGGGAUUGAGAUAAGGAUCAAUGACCUGCAGUUAAUAUGAGCUCUCAGAACACAUCCCCCAGAACUGGUGUCAGCCUAGAAGGCAAGAAGCAUUUCUCACCUAGGGACCACUCUCACUUAACUCUCUCUAGCUGCCUUAACAUUCUGUUUGUUCUUGUCAUUCUCGCAAAGUUCUAAAACAGGCUAUUUGAAAUUAAGCACUUCCCCCCAGCAACUCCGUGAAUUACGUAAUAGUGAAAAAUGGAGAUAGACAAAAAGCAAACCUGAGGAAGGAAAGGAAUGUUAAGAGUCACCAGUAAAAUGAGCAUUCAUUCAUUAAGCCAAUCAUCAGGAAUGGAUCUAGGAAGAACCUACUGUUUACUAGAAAUAGGUUAGAUCUGUGGAUAUAACAAUGAAUAAGACAAGACUGGUGGAUCUAUAGAGAAACUAUUACUGCACAGGUGAUGGGGAAAUCAAGAGUACUAUGGGGCCAAGGAGACUGUCCUGCAGCAAAUGAGGAAUAAGCUGAAACAUCAGUAGGAGCCAUCCCAGAGAAAAGGGACAGGGUUCUAGAUCCAGAGAACAACAGAAGAGCAUUCAGCGCCUGCAAGGGAGCAGGGGAUCUAAUGCAAAGCCAUUGCAUAACCAGUCAACUUUCCCCACAUCACAAGAUUGCCUAGCCUGGAUGGCCCCAGAAUGUUGAAACAAAUGUCUAAUUAGUAACGACAUUCUGAAUGCUUGGGAGCUGAGCAAAAUAUGAGGAGAAGCAACCUGAUUUUUGUUUCAUAUUAUCAUCUCCUUUAUUCCAGCAACAAAAGACACUGAAAAUAGUAAAUGCCCACUUUCAACCAUGACAGCCCUUUUAGGAUAGUAACGGUGAGCAGUAUUAAUCCUAUUUGACCAGAACUAGGGCAGAAUUGAAGCCCCUGGAGUAGAGAUCUGUUCUAUUAGCCCCAGCCUUUCCGCCUGCUUCUUGGGAUGGCUAUCUUUACUUUAUCAGUUGAGCCUCCAGCAUUAGCAGAUACCUAUAAGGGAAGAGAUCCAGCCCUCACUAUGGAGGGCCAGAAAGAGAAAGCACCAGACAUUAGGAAAUGUCAAAGUAUCUCAGUACAUCCAGCUGAUUAGUGACAGAUAAGUCAAAAUUUGCAGCAACUAAAUAAAUCAAAAAGUAGAUUUUAAAA